AACGAACGUUAGCGGCGCGCUUAACACAUGCAAGUCGCACGAGAAAGGGCUUCGGCCCCGGUAAAGUGGCGCACGGGUGAGUAACACGUGGAUAACCUACCCUUGAGCAGGGGAUAACAUCCCGAAAGGGGUGCUAAUACCGCAUAAGACCACGGCUCCGAAAGGAGCUGAGGUAAAAGCUGGCCUCUAUAUAUAAGCUAGCACUUGAGGACGGGUCCGCGGCGCAUCAGGUAGUUGGCGGGGUAAUGGCCCACCAAGCCUUAGACGCGUAGCUGGUCUGAGAGGAUGAUCAGCCACACUGGAACUGAGACACGGUCCAGACUCCUACGGGAGGCAGCAGUGGGGAAUCUUGCGCAAUGGACGAAAGUCUGACGCAGCGACGCCGCGUGUGUGAUGAAGGCCUCGGUC
rnacentral:rRNA from 1 species